UAAAAUAUUACAAGGGAGAUUUUUCAAAGGAAUAAGUAGGAGGUAGGCACCUAACUGCCAUUUGUGUAUUGGGAAACCUCCCUGUAAAUGUUUACAUAAUACUUUUAUUCCUGAACCUGCCUCAAUAACCUACCAGUGCUACUGUGCUGCUAAGAUGUAGGAAUAAAAUAAUGUCAGUUCAGAAAAGUACAAGAAUAAAGGUAAUGGGAACCAGGACCGGGAACUCGGAGGAUCACUCCACCAGGGAUCAGGAAUGGCAGAUAACCAUCACCAGAUGGAUUGCAGGAUCCAGUGAAGACUGUGCUAUCCGCUCAGAUCUGUUGAUCUCCUGCUUCGACAAUAGAGUCAGAUCCUCCGAUGUUCCAGAGAUCCUGAGACGGACCAUCCGUUGCCGGUGUCCUCCAUCUGCAGCUAGAAGAGAGUCGGUAAUUAUUUUUCAGGCAUUUAUUAGUUUAGCCAAGGGACAGUUUAAGG
rnacentral:lncRNA from 1 species